GCCAGGGUGGCAUAUUGGGUUGAUUGUUGGACUAGGACAACUAAGACCAGGGUUCAAAUCCCAGCUUGGGCA